AAACCGGUUGAUCCUGCCGGACCCGACCGCUAUCGGGGUAGGGCUAAGCCAUGCGAGUCGCGCGCCCGGGGGCGCCCGGGAGCGGCGCACGGCUCAGUAACACGUGCCCAACCUACCCUCGGGAGGGGGACACCCCCGGGAAACUGGGGCCAAUCCCCCAUAGGGGAAGGGCGCUGGAAGGCCCCUUCCCCGAAAGGGACUGCGGCCGAUCCGCCGCAGUCCGCCCGAGGAUGGGGGCACGGCCCAUCAGGUAGUUGGCGGGUUAAAGGCCCGCCAAGCCGAAGACGGGUAGGGGCGGUGAGAGCCGCGAGCCCCGAGAUCGGCACUGAGACAAGGGCCGAGGCCCUACGGGGUGCAGCAGGCGCGAAUACUCCGCAAUGCGGGCAACCGCGACGGGGCUACCCCGAGUGCCGGGCGAAGAGCCCGGCUUUUGCCCGGUCUAAAAAGCCGGGCGAAUAAGCGGGGGGCAAGUCUGGUGUCAGCCGCCGCGGUAAUACCAGCUCCGCGAGUGGUCGGGGUGUUUACUGGGCUUAAAGCGCCCGUAGCCGGCCCGGCAAGUCGCUCCUGAAAUCCCCGGGCUCAACCCGGGGGCGGGGGGCGAUACUGCCGGGCUAGGGGGCGGGAGAGGCCGCCGGUACUCCGGGGGUAGGGGCGAAAUCCGUUAAUCCCCGGAGGACCACCAGUGGCGAAAGCGGGCGGCCAGAACGCGCCCGACGGUGAGGGGCGAAAGCCGGGGGAGCAAAGGGGAUUAGAUACCCCUGUAGUCCCGGCCGUAAACGAUGCGGGCUAGCUGUCGGCCGGGCUUAGGGCCCGGCCGGUGGCGAAGGGAAACCGUUAAGCCCGCCGCCUGGGGAGUACGGCCGCAAGGCUGAAACUUAAAGGAAUUGGCGGGGGGGCACCACAAGGGGUGAAGCUUGCGGCUUAAUUGGAGUCAACGCCGGAAACCUCACCCGGGGCGACAGCAGGAUGAAGGCCAGGCUAACGACCUUGCCGGACGAGCUGAGAGGAGGUGCAUGGCCGUCGUCAGCUCGUGCCGUGAGGUGUCCGGUUAAGUCCGGCAACGAGCGAGACCCCCACCCCUAGUUGCUACCCCGUCCUACGGGACGGGGGGCACACUAGGGGGACUGCCGGCGUAAGCCGGAGGAAGGAGGGGGCCACGGCAGGUCAGUAUGCCCCGAAACCCCGGGGCUGCACGCGAGCUGCAAUGGCGGGGACAGCGGGAUCCGACCCCGAAAGGGGGAGGCAAUCCCGUAAACCCCGCCCCAGUAGGGAUCGAGGGCUGCAACUCGCCCUCGUGAACGUGGAAUCCCUAGUAACCGCGUGUCACCAACGCGCGGUGAAUACGUCCCUGCCCCUUGCACACACCGCCCGUCGCACCACCCGAGGGGGCUCUCUGCGAGGCCCCCUGCCCACAGGGUGGGGGGACGAGCAGGGGGCCCCCAAGGGGGGUGAAGUCGUAACAAGGUAGCCGUAGGGGAACCUGCGGCUGGAUCACCUCCACCU
rnacentral:rRNA from 1 species